rnacentral:tRNA from 1 species
AGCUCAGUGGUAGAGUGCUUGCCUUGCAUGCAUGAGGCCCUGAGUUUGAUUCCUCAG